AAUCAACGCUGGCGGCGUGCCUCAGACAUGCAAGUCGAACGAUUAAAGCUCUCUUCGGAGAGUGUAUAGAGUGGCGCACGGGUGAGUAACACGUAAGUAAUCUACCUUCGAGUGGGGAAUAACGUCCGGAAACGGACGCUAAUACCGCAUAAUGCAGCGGCAUCGCAAGAUGACAGUUGUUAAAGAAUUUAUUCGCUUGAAGAGGAGCUUGCGGCAGAUUAGCUAGUUGGUAAGGUAAUGGCUUACCAAGGCUACGAUCUGUAACCGGUCUAAGAGGACGGUCGGUCACACUGACACUGAAUAACGGGUCAGACUCCUACGGGAGGCAGCAGUCGGGAAUUUUGGGCAAUGGGCGAAAGCCUGACCCAGCAACGCCGCGUGAAGGAUGAAGUAUUUCGGUAUGUAAACUUCGAAAGAAUGGGAAGAAUCAAUGACGGUACCAUUUAUAAGGUCCGGCUAACUACGUGCCAGCAGCCGCCGCGGU
rnacentral:rRNA from 1 species